rnacentral:tRNA from 1 species
GCAGUCGUGGCCGAGUGGUUAAGGCGAUAGACUAGAAAUCCAUUGGGGUCUCCCCGCACAGGUUUGAAUCCUGCCGACUGCG